rnacentral:lncRNA from 13 species
GUAUAAAAUUGUGACCCGAAAUUUUAUCACCAGUCACUAUCAUAUCAAACUGUAACCUUAUGGAAGGUAAGGACUGUACAUUAUAGGAACAGAUUUAAAUAUUUCAGGUGUAAUAUGGUUUGGCUGUGUCCCAACCCAAAUCUUAUCUUGAAUUCCCAUGUGUGUGGGAGGGACCUGGUAGGAGGUAAUUUUAUCAUGGGGCAGGUCUUUCCCAUGCUGUUCUUGUGAUAGUGAACAAGUCUCAUGAGGUCUGAUGGUUUUAUAAAGAAGAGUUUCCCUACUCAAGCUUCUCUUCUCUUUUUUGCUGCCAUGUGAGAUGUGCCUUUCACCUUCUGCUGUGACUGUGAGGCCUCCCAAGCCACGUGGAACACUAAGGACAUUAAACUUUUUCUUCUCAGUCUCGGAUUUGUCAAAAGACCUUUGUUUCUAUCAUCUCAUUGGACAAUCACAAUGAGCAGCCAGGCAUAGUGGCUCAAGUCUGUAAUCCCAGCACUUUGAGAGGCCGAGGUGGGCAGAUCUCUGAGGUCAAGAGUUUGAGACCUGCCUGGCCAACACAGUGAAAUGCUGUCUCUACUAAAAAUAGGAAAAAAAUUAGCUGGGUAUGGUGACUGAUGCCUGUAAUCCCAGCUAUUUGGGAGGCUGAAGCAGGAGGAUCACUUGAACCAGGGAGGCAGAGAUUGAAGUGACUUGAGAUCAUGCUGCUGCAUUCUAGUCUGAGUGACAGAGCAAGACUCUGUUUAAAAAAAAAAAAAAGCUUCAAUGACAGGAUUAACACAACAGGCACACAAAGUUGGUGAUGUUUAUUAUUUCCAGAGGAACUUGUACUGCACAGAAAAAUGAG